rnacentral:rRNA from 1 species
UUUAAUUGAAGAGUUUGAUCAUGGCUCAGAUUGAACGCUGGCGGCAGGCCUAACACAUGCAAGUCGAGCGGUAGCACAGGAGAGCUUGCUCUCUGGGUGACGAGCGGCGGACGGGUGAGUAAUGUCUGGGAAACUGCCUGAUGGAGGGGGAUAACUACUGGAAACGGUAGCUAAUACCGCAUAACGUCUUCGGACCAAAGUGGGGGACCUUCGGGCCUCACGCCAUCAGAUGUGCCCAGAUGGGAUUAGCUAGUAGGUGGGGUAAUGGCUCACCUAGGCGACGAUCCCUAGCUGGUCUGAGAGGAUGACCAGCCACACUGGAACUGAGACACGGUCCAGACUCCUACGGGAGGCAGCAGUGGGGAAUAUUGCACAAUGGGCGCAAGCCUGAUGCAGCCAUGCCGCGUGUGUGAAGAAGGCCUUCGGGUUGUAAAGCACUUUCAGCGAGGAGGAAGGGUAGUGUGUUAAUAGCACAUUGCAUUGACGUUACUCGCAGAAGAAGCACCGGCUAACUCCGUGCCAGCAGCCGCGGUAAUACGGAGGGUGCAAGCGUUAAUCGGAAUUACUGGGCGUAAAGCGCACGCAGGCGGUUUGUUAAGUCAGAUGUGAAAUCCCCGCGCUUAACGUGGGAACUGCAUUUGAAACUGGCAAGCUAGAGUCUUGUAGAGGGGGGUAGAAUUCCAGGUGUAGCGGUGAAAUGCGUAGAGAUCUGGAGGAAUACCGGUGGCGAAGGCGGCCCCCUGGACAAAGACUGACGCUCAGGUGCGAAAGCGUGGGGAGCAAACAGGAUUAGAUACCCUGGUAGUCCACGCUGUAAACGAUGUCGACUUGGAGGUUGUGCCCUUGAGGCGUGGCUUCCGGAGCUAACGCGUUAAGUCGACCGCCUGGGGAGUACGGCCGCAAGGUUAAAACUCAAAUGAAUUGACGGGGGCCCGCACAAGCGGUGGAGCAUGUGGUUUAAUUCGAUGCAACGCGAAGAACCUUACCUACUCUUGACAUCCAGAGAAUUCGCUAGAGAUAGCUUAGUGCCUUCGGGAACUCUGAGACAGGUGCUGCAUGGCUGUCGUCAGCUCGUGUUGUGAAAUGUUGGGUUAAGUCCCGCAACGAGCGCAACCCUUAUCCUUUGUUGCCAGCACGUAAUGGUGGGAACUCAAAGGAGACUGCCGGUGAUAAACCGGAGGAAGGUGGGGAUGACGUCAAGUCAUCAUGGCCCUUACGAGUAGGGCUACACACGUGCUACAAUGGCGUAUACAAAGAGAAGCGAACUCGCGAGAGCCAGCGGACCUCAUAAAGUACGUCGUAGUCCGGAUCGGAGUCUGCAACUCGACUCCGUGAAGUCGGAAUCGCUAGUAAUCGUAGAUCAGAAUGCUACGGUGAAUACGUUCCCGGGCCUUGUACACACCGCCCGUCACACCAUGGGAGUGGGUUGCAAAAGAAGUAGGUAGCUUAACCUUCGGGAGGGCGCUUACCACUUUGUGAUUCAUGACUGGGGUGAAGUCGUAACAAGGUAACCGUAGGGGAACCUGCGGUUGGAUCACCUCCUUACCU